UGAGGAAUAUUGCACAAUGGGCGCAAGCCUGAUGCAGCCAUGCCGCGUGUGUGAAGAAGGCCUUCGGGUUGUAAAGCACUUUCAGCGAGGAGGAAGGUGGUGAGCUUAAUACGCUCAUCAAUUGACGUUACUCGCAGAAGAAGCACCGGCUAACUCCGUGCCAGCAGCCGCGGUAAUACGGAGGGUGCAAGCGUUAAUCGGAAUUACUGGGCGUAAAGCGCACGCAGGCGGUUUGUUAAGUCAGAUGUGAAAUCCCCGGGCUCAACCUGGGAACUGCAUUUGAAACUGGCAAGCUAGAGUCUCGUAGAGGGGGGUAGAAUUCCAGGUGUAGCGGUGAAAUGCGUAGAGAUCUGGAGGAAUACCGGUGGCGAAGGCGGCCCCCUGGACGAAGACUGACGCUCAGGUGCGAAAGCGUGGGGAGCAAAACAGGAUUAGAUACCCUGGUAGUCCAGCGCUGUAAAACGAUGUCGAUUUUGGAGGUUGUGCCCUUGAGGCGUGGCUUCCGGAGCUAACG
rnacentral:rRNA from 1 species